UGCGUAGGCGGCCAAGUAAGUAGGAUGUGAAAUCCCACAGCUCAACUGUGGAACUGCGUUCUAUACUGCUUGGCUAGAGGAAGGUAGAGGUGAGCGGAACUGAUGGUGGAGCGGUGAAAUGCGUUGAUAUCAUCAGGAACACCAGUUGCGAAAGCGGCUCGCUGGGCCUUUUCUGACGCUGAGGCACGAAAGCUAGGGGAGCGAACG
rnacentral:rRNA from 1 species